AGUUCCGGUUGAAAAAAACAGAGCACUUUUCAAAGAGAGGACAUCUGAAGUUCAUUAUCGGGUCCAAGCCUAACCGAGUUCACGUAAUCAGUCAUGCAAUGAUCCGACAGACCAGGAAUCACCAGCCCCAUAAGCCUAAACAAGAUCCUAAACCAUCCCUCUUUGUAAUCUGGUCCAUGAGUGUACCCCAUCGUCAAGCCUCUAACCAACUCCCAAACUGCGAUCACAUGCCCAAGAAUCUUGUAACGCAGACCGUAAGGGUUCGGGUCCGGCUCAUCCUCUGCUUUCUGUCAAAUAUUCAAGAAAUCCAUUAUUAGUUACAAA